UCUCACAGGGUGGGGUGGUUCCCUGAUGUAAGAGCUUCCUCCUGGACCUGUAAUGCUGAGCUCAGAUCUUCUGCCACUCACAGUGAUGACUGUCCCUCUGGGCAAGAACAUGUGGCCUUUCCACGCAGCAGCAGAGCAGCCCAGGUGAUGAGUUCUCACUCCACACCGUUUCCAGGUCCCCAGAAGAAGUGAAUCCCAGAGACUCUCCUGAUGCUAGAAGAGCAAACAAAAGGAGCAGGCAAAGAGGACACAAGCAGCAAGAAAUGCUUGCCAUCUUCUACAUGGACAAGAUUGCAAAACAGGGUGGGGACCUUGAAAGAAAGAAACUGCCUAAUUUGAUCUGCUGAUUACAUCCUGUGCUCCUAAGCCCUGGACAGGGG